GGCGUUGUAGUAUAGUUGGUUAGUAUACCCGCCUGUCACGCGGGUGACCCGGGUUCAUAUCUCGGCAACGUCG